rnacentral:rRNA from 1 species
UACGAGAGGCCCAAACGUUAUUCGGAAUUACUGGGCUUAAAAGAGUUCGUAGGCGGCAUGAAAAGUAGGGUGUGAAAGCCCUCGGCUCAACCGAGGAAUUGCGCUCUAAACUGUCGUGCUCGAGGAACCUAGAGGUGAGCAGAACUGAUGGUGGAGCGGUGAAAAUGCGUUGAUAUCAUCAGGAAUACCGGAGGCGAAGGCGCUCACUGGGGGUUUCUGACGCUGAGGAACGGAAAGCCAGGGGAGCGAACGGG